rnacentral:tRNA from 1 species
GGGGCCGUAGUCCAGCCUGGUAGGAUAGUAGCGGAAUACCCUAACGCCUGGCUUGGGCCCAGGUGGUCCCGGGUUCAAAUCCCGGCGGCCCCACCA